GGCCACACCCAUGCACAACCAAACACACACACAGCACACUGACACUCGCCCUUAGGCACCUCGCCCUCCCUCUGGUAGUCACCAUCAGCAUCCACAGCACAGCAGGCCAGGCCAGGCUGUUUCCAGGAUUCUCUCCGCUGGGGUGCAGAUGAUGGAAAUGAGAGCGCCCUGGCAGCCACGGAGCUCAGUAUGCAGGGGGAUUCCUGUGCCUGCUGUGACUGUUCACACCAAUACAGGCCAACUGGUCCUCCCUCCCACUCUGCUGUCACAUGCACCGAAGCCCAGUCAUGCUGACAGAUCAUCUAGUCACGAAGACAAUUUUUUUCCUGCCGCCCUUGGGACACUUUUCCAGCAUGGCUGUUGCAGCAGGGGUCUGAGCCCUGGGCACUGCAGUGGUCUGGCAUCAGGGGCCUGGGCCCAGCAGCUCUGGAAGAUGAGCCGCAGGCACAGAGGCCCCGCCACAGUCACCUCCUCCUUCCUGAGCUUCGCGGCUGUGUUGAAACCUCUGUUCGGCUGGCCCUGCUCUUCCACUCUGGUAAAAACUCAAUGAACCUUUAAGAAUUUGAACACCAAGGGAAAAGUUAAUUUCAAGAGAAACUAGAGUUUGCUGAGGAGCAUUCUGGAUGAGGCCUGUUGAUGGGCUUAACUUUGCUAAUUAGAUGCCAAAAACCAGGAAGCCUGCUGGUUCUCGUUGAAAUGAAGGAAGCACAUUACCUACACUGUCUUUCCCCAGCUAUCAGAGUGGAAAACCCUGGACAGAGACGUCAAACCAGACAGGGGCUCUGCAAAGGGAAUUGGGGAGGAAAAAAAAAAAAACACGAGGACAAAUACAGUGUCAUGAAGAUGGAAUGGAAUGGCCCCUGGAGUGUGCAUGUUUGGGCUGGAUCUGAAUAGUACUGCAAGGCCUUUGAAAACUGAACUGGCAUUAGAACCACAGCUCAUAGAGGGUAAGCUGGGAUCUGAGGCUUCAACAUAAUUGAGUUGAUUUCCUGAUUCAAACAACCAGGUGCAGCAGGGCACACCUGUAAUGCCAGUGACUCAGGAGGCUGAGGCAGGAGGAUUAUGUUCAAAGCCAGCCUCAGCAACUCAGUGAGACCCUGUUUCUAAAUAAAAUACAAAAAAGGGCUGGGGGUAUGGCUCAGUGGUAAAGUGCCCCUGGGUUCAAUCCCUGGUACCAAAAACCAAAACAAACAAAAAAACCCCUAACAAUACUGACAUUCUUCAGAAGAUUUUAACAGGAUCUAGAAUCUUGUAAUAUAAUAUUCAAAAUGCCCAGGACACAAUCCAAAACUAUUUGACAUACAAAGAAACAGGAAAAGCAAGGUACAAGGGGAAAGACAAUCAACAGAUAGAUACCAACCCAAGAUGAGGCAGAUAUUGUCAUUAUUAGACAAUAUUUUUAACUGUUUUGAUUUUGAUACUGAGGAUUAAAAACCAGGGCAAAGAUUUUAAAGCAGUAAACCUAUCCAUGUUCCAUGAAGUAACUGUGAACACUCUUGAAAUAAAUGGAAAUAUAGAAAUUCUCUGUAGAGAAAAAAAAAAACCUGAAAAAAACUAAACAGAAAUUUUAGAACUACAAGACAUAUUAGCUAAAGUUAAAAAACUAUCUGGAUGGGAUCACUAGUAGGAUGGAGAUGAUGGGAAAAAAACAGUGCUAGAAUUAUAGAAUGAUCUAAUCAGAACAAGAAUAAUAAAGAAUCAGCUUGCUAAGAAAACGUAACAAUCCCAAAUCUGCAUGAACCUAAUAAUGGAGCUUCAAAAUGCAUGAAGAAAAACUGAUGAUAGAACUGAAAAGGGAAAAAGACAAAUUGAAAAUUAUGGUCCUAGACUUGCACACUCCUCCCCAGUGAUCAAUAGAACUAAUCAGAUGGAAAAUCAAUAAGGAUCUGGAAAGCCUGAACACUACCACUAACCACCUUAACCUAACUGGCACUUUUAGAAUUCUCCACCCAAUAAGAACAAAACCUAUACUCCUUUCAUAUGUACAUGGAAUAUUCACCAAGGAGGUCAUAUCUCAGGGUUUUAACAAGCUUUAAUAAACUUAAAAGAAUUGAAGUCAUACAAAGUUUGUGCUCUGACUAUGCUGGAAUUAAACUAGAAACCAAUAACAGAAAGGCAUCUGAAAAAUGUCCAAAUACACAUUGCCUAAAUAACUCAUAAAUCAAAGAGGAAUUCUCAAGGGAAAUUAAAAAUAAUCUAAAUUAAAUUAAAAUAAAAAAUACAACAACAUAAAAUUCAAACCCAAAGGAAGAGGGAAUGUCAUGGUUUGGAUGUGGGGUGUCCCCCAAAAGCUCCUGUGUGAGACAAUGCAAGAACUUCAGAGGUGGAAUGAUUAGUGUAUGAGAAUUUUAACCUUAUCAGUGAAUCAAUCCACUGAUAUGGAUUAACUGGUUGGUAACUGCAGGCAGGCAGGGUGUGGCUAGAGGAAAUAGGCCUCUGGGAAUGUGCCUUUGGGGUUUAUAUUUUGUCCUUGGUGAUUGGAGCUCUCUCUUUCUCCCUCUGCUCCCUGGCUGUGGGGUCCUGAGCUACUUCCCUCUGUCCUGCCCUCCUGCCACGAUGCUCUGCCUCCCUCAGGCCCCAAGCUGUGGAGUCAGCUGACCACGGACUGAACCUCUGAAA